CACGUAGUUAGCCGGGGCUUCUUAGUCAGGUACCGUCUUUCUUCUUCCCUGCUGAUAGAGCUUUACAUACCGAAAUACUUCUUCACUCACGCGGCGUUGCUGCAUCAGGGUUUCCCCCAUUGUGCAAUAUUCCCCACUGCUGCCUCCCGUAGGAGUUUGGGCCGUGUCUCAGUCCCAAUGUGGCCGGCCACCCUCUCAGGUCGGCUACUGAUCGUCGCCUUGGUGGGCCGUUACCUCACCAACCAGCUAAUCAGACGCGGAUCCAUCCCAUACCACCGGAGUUUUUCACACCGGACCAUGCGGUCCUGUGCGCUUAUGCGGUAUUAGCAGUCAUUUCUAACUGUUAUCCCCCUGUAUGAGGCAGGUUAUCCACGCGUUACUCACCCGUCCGCCGCUAAGUCAUAUCCGCUUCCAUCCGAAAACUUCCGCUAAUACGCUUCGCUCGACUUGCAUGUGUUAAGCACGCCGCCAGCGUUCAUCCUGAGCCAGGAUCAAACUCU
rnacentral:rRNA from 1 species